rnacentral:rRNA from 1 species
AGCCCGCACUUGAUUAGUUUGUUGGUGGGGUAAUGGCCUACCAAGACUGUGAUCAAUAGCUGAUUUGAGAGGAUGAUCAGCCACAUUGGGACUGAGACACGGCCCAAACUCCUACGGGAGGCAGCAGUGGGGAAUCUUGCACAAUGGAGGAAACUCUGAUGCAGCGAUGCCGCGUGAGUGAAGAAGGCCCUUGGGUUGUAAAGCUCUUUCGUCGGGGAAGAAAAUGACUGUACCCGAAUAAGAAGGUCCGGCUAACUUCGUGCCAGCAGCCGCGGUAAUACGAAGGGACCUAGCGUAGUUCGGAAUUACUGGGCUUAAAGAGUUCGUAGGUGGUUGAAAAAGUUAGUGGUGAAAUCCCAGAGCUUAACUCUGGAACUGCCAUUAAAACUUUUCAGCUAGAGUAUGAUAGAGGAAAGCAGAAUUUCUAGUGUAGAGGUGAAAUUCGUAGAUAUUAGAAAGAAUACCAAUUGCGAAGGCAGCUUUCUGGAUCAUUACUGACACUGAGGAACGAAAGCAUGGGUAGCGAAGAGGAUUAGAUACCCUCGUAGUCCAUGCCGUAAACGAUGUGUGUUAGACGUUGGAAAUUUAUUUUCAGUGUCGCAGCGAAAGCGAUAAACACACCGCCUGGGGAGUACGACCGCAAGGUUAAAACUCAAAUGAAUUGACGGGGACCCGCACAAGUAGUGGAGCAUGUGGUUUAAUUCGAAGAUACGCGCAGAACCUUACCAACACUUGACAUGUUCGUCGCGACUCUAAGAGAUUAGAGUUUUCGGUUCGGCCGGACGAAACACAGGUGCUGCAUGGCUGUCGUCAGCUCGUGUCGUGAGAUGUUGGGUUAAGUCCCGCAACGAGCGCAACCCUCACUUUUAGUUGCCAUCAUUAAGUUGGGCACUCUGAAAGAACUGCCAGUGAUAAGCUGGGAGGAAGGUGGGGAUGACGUCAAGUCCUCAUGGCCCUUACGUGUUGGGCUACACACGUGCUACAAUGGUAUCUACAACAGGAAGCAAGACUGCGAGGUCAAGCAAAUCCUUAAAAGAUACCUCAGUUCGGAUUGCACUCUGCAACUCGAGUGCAUGAAGCUGGAAUUACUAGUAAUCGUGGAUCAGCGUGCCACGGUGAAUGCGUUCCCGGGUCUUGUACACACCGCCCGUCACACCAUGGGAGUUGGUUCUACCUUAAGGCAAGGUUUCAAACCCUUGACCACGGUAUAGUCAGCGACUGGGGUGAAGUCGUAACAAGGUAGCCGUA